rnacentral:lncRNA from 1 species
UAAGAGGAAGAAGGAGGAGGAGGAAGAAGAAAAGAAAGAGAAAUGAUAUAAAUUUUACCCAAAGAAUAUAACUUUUCUUUAAAGAGUGUAACUUUCAUCCCAAAGAGUGUAAUUUCUGUCUCAAACAGUGCAACUUUCAUUUAAAAUUGUGCAAAAUUUUUUAAAAUAGUAUAACUUUAUUUUAACAGUGCAAUUUCAUCUUCUUCCUUCUUUUAUGAUUUUUUAUCUUUUUUGUAGAAAAAAAAUAUUUUUUAUUUUUAUUUUUUAUUAUUCUUAUUUUUUCCAUUUAUUUUUGGUUACGACCUCUCUCUUGCCCUCUAUCGCAGCCACCGCCCUCGCCGGAGUGUAACUAUUUUUCUUCUCCUCCCCGCCAGCGUGCUUCUUGGCCCAGAGAAGCACUUCCUCUUCGUCGCCAGCGACAGCGAUGGGGGCGACGGGUUUGUUUGACGGAUAGAAAAUUUGCUGUAGUGA